UAGGGAAUCUUCCGCAAUGGACGCAAGUCUGACGGAGCAACGCCGCGUGAGUGAAGAAGGAUUUCGGUUCGUAAAACUCUGUUGUUAGAGAAGAACAGCGCAUAGAGUAACUGUUAUGCGUGUGACGGUAUCUAACCAGAAAGCCACGGCUAACUACGUGCCAGCAGCCGCGGUAAUACGUAGGUGGCAAGCGUUGUCCGGAUUUAUUGGGCGUAAAGCGAGCGCAGGCGGUCAAUUAAGUCUGAUGUGAAAGCCCCCGGCUCAACCGGGGAGGGUCAUUGGAAACUGGUUGACUUGAGUGCAGAGGAGGAGAGUGGAAUUCCAGGUGUAGCGGUGAAAUGCGUAGAUAUAUGGAGGAAAACCGGUGGCGAAGGCGACUCUCUGGUCUGUAACUGACGCUGAGGCUCGAAAGCGUGGGUAGCAAACAGG
rnacentral:rRNA from 1 species